CAUACAUACACAUACACACACACACUAGGGCAGGGGGAUAGUGAGACUUUGAUCUGUAACAAAAGGUUAUAAAAUGUAGCAACCAACUAAUUUCAAGUAGGAGAUAGUGCAACAAUGUCUAGUGUUUACAAGUUUUCUCUGUUUUUAUGCACAGAACACAAGAUUGGUUCUUUUCCUAUCCACUGAGCUCCUCGUGCAAAUGUCCUCUUAAGCUCAGCAAUAAAAAGCAUAAUUAUGUGGAUGUAUUUGUGUGUGUGUGUGUGUGUGUGUAAAUACUUGUUAGACUUUGUAGUUUUAUUAACAUAACACAACCUCAACUAAUAGAAACAUUGGGGUUUAGAUUUGACUGUGAUACUGUGGGAUGGUUGAAGUGUCCACUCAAUCUGCCUCUGACUUUGGACAUUGAUAUCUGGCUGUAUUUAGACCUUUUUUGUCAGUACUAGCAAGACAUUGGAACAUUUUUUCAGUUAAAAGUUGGCAUCACUAAAUUGUCUUUCUAGACUGGGCACCAUCUGUUUUUAUGCUUGACAUGAGCAAUGAAGUAUCUCUCUCUUUCAACUUGUUCAAUGUUUGAUAGUCAAUUAGUCUAAUACUUUUGAUAGACUCUUAGCUUAGCCUAACUGCCCUCAUCACUCACAAGCAACUCUCUAGAUUACACAAGAACUACUUGAGUUUGCUGGGUUUUUUUUUC